CUCAUUAAGUGGGAAGAACCUACCUGUGCCACAGGCUGGCCAAGGUGGUUAUCAAUGUAAGAUAGGCAC